rnacentral:rRNA from 1 species
UUGAACGCUGGCGGCAGGCCUAACCCCCGCAAGUCGCGCGGAUGAAGGGAGCUUGCUCCUGGAUUCAGCGGCGGACGGGUGAGUAAUGCCUAGGAAUCUGCCUGGUAGUGGGGGAUAACGUCCGGAAACGGGCGCUAAUACCGCAUACGUCCUGAGGGAGAAAGUGGGGGAUCUUCGGACCUCACGCUAUCAGAUGAGCCUAGGUCGGAUUAGCUAGUUGGUGGGGUAAAGGCCUACCAAGGCGACGAUCCGUAACUGGUCUGAGAGGAUGAUCAGUCACACUGGAACUGAGACACGGUCCAGACUCCUACGGGAGGCAGCAGUGGGGAAUAUUGGACAAUGGGCGAAAGCCUGAUCCAGCCAUGCCGCGUGUGUGAAGAAGGUCUUCGGAUUGUAAAGCACUUUAAGUUGGGAGGAAGGGCAGUAAGUUAAUACCUUGCUGUUUUGACGUUACCAACAGAAUAAGCACCGGCUAACUUCGUG